UACGGAGGGUGCAAGCGUUAUCCGGAUUCACUGGGUUUAAAGGGUGCGUAGGAGGGCAGGUAAGUCAGUGGUGAAAUCUCCAAGCUUAACCUGGAAACUGCCGUUGAUACUAUCUGUCUUGAAUAUUGUGGAGGUGAGCGGAAUAUGUCAUGUAGCGGUGAAAUGCUUAGAUAUGACAUAGAACACCAAUUGCGAAGGCAGCUCGCUACACAUAUAUUGACUCUGAGGCACGAAAGCGUGGGGAU
rnacentral:rRNA from 1 species